GGGCCGCGCCACCGCCGCCCCGCCCGCUCCGCCGCGCCGGCCGCUGGAGCGAGCGCCACCCGGGCCACCUGGCUGCGGCGAAGCGGCGAGACUCGGUGGCCACCGCGGGACUCCGAGGAGCUGCGGCCGCUGAGCGCAUCGGAGGGCGGGCGCGCCGAGGCGCCGGGUGGGAGCGGAGCAUCUUCACUUCUGCGGGGACCUAGUUUGCCCCCACCUGAUGCAACCCAGAAAAUGGACUGACUGCGAGUGCCUUGGGGCGGAGAAUGUGUCUUGCUACGUGUAAAGCACCUAGAACCCUGCCAGAUUCAGGGGACACAGCAUCCUGCCGUUUUCCUGCCGUCCCCCGCCCGCCACACAGUAGGCGCUCCAGUGGCUCGGGGCAUCUACCAGGCAGGCCGCGCUGUCCUGCCCUGCCGGGGCUGGAGUGGAGCAACCCUCCGGGGCCACCCACAUCUGGGUACCUUUUCCCCACUUUUUCCACCCCAGCCGCGCACAGUCACCAGAAAACUCUUUUAGAAAUACAAACACUUGGCCUGGCGCGGUGGCUCACACCUGUAAUCCCAGCACUCUGGGAGGCCGAGGCGGAUGGAUCACCUGAGGUCAGGAGUUCAAGACCAGCGUGGCCAACAUGGUGAAACCCCAUCGCUACUAAAAAUACGAAAAAAUUAGCUGGGCGUGGUGGUGGGCAUCUGUGAUCUCAGCUACGCAGGAUGCUGAGGCAGGAGAAUCGCUUGAACCCAGGAGGCGGAGGUUACAGUGACCAAAGAGGGCACCACUGCACUCCAGCCUGGGCAACAAGAGCGAAACUUUAUCUAAAAAAAAUAAAAAUAAAAAAAUACAAUCACUUUUCUCUGAUUGGAAUCAAGGUCCCAGAAUACAAUCUUAAGAACAAGUUUUGGCCAGUGUGGUGGCUCACGCCUGUAAUCCCAGCACUUUGGGAGGCAGUGGCCGGUGGAUCACCUGAGGUCAGGAGUUCGAGACCAGCCUGGCCAAUUUUUAGUAGAGCCCAUCUCUACUAAAAAUACAAAAAUUAGCUGGGUGUGGUGAUGCGCACCUGUAGUCCCAGCUACUUGGGAGGCUGAGGCAGGAGAAUGGUGUGAACCUGGGAGGCGGUGCUUGCAGUGAGCGGAGAUCACACCACUGCACUCCAGCCUGGGCGACAGAGCGAGACUCCGUC
rnacentral:lncRNA from 1 species